GACGAACGCUGGCGGCGUGCUUAACACAUGCAAGUCGAACGGAAAGGCCCUGCUUUUGUGGGGUGCUCGAGUGGCGAACGGGUGAGUAACACGUGAGUAACCUGCCCUUGACUUUGGGAUAACUUCAGGAAACUGGGGCUAAUACCGGAUAGGAGCUCCUGCUGCAUGGUGGGGGUUGGAAAGUUUCGGCGGUUGGGGAUGGACUCGCGGCUUAUCAGCUUGUUGGUGGGGUAGUGGCUUACCAAGGCUUUGACGGGUAGCCGGCCUGAGAGGGUGACCGGCCACAUGGGGACUGAGAGACGGCCCAGACUCCUACGGGAGGCAGCAGGGGGGAAUAUUGCACAAUGGGCGGAAGCCUGAUGCAGCAACGCCGCGUGCGGGAUGACGGCUUUCGGGUGGUAAACCGCUUUCGCCUGUGACGAAGCGGGAGUGACGGUAAUGGGUAAAGAAGCACCGGCUAACUACGUG
rnacentral:rRNA from 1 species